rnacentral:misc_RNA from 1 species
GAUGAAGAACUUAGCGAAAUGCGAUACGUAAUGUGAAUUGCAGAAUUCAGUGAAUCAUCGAGUCUUUGAACGCACAUUGCGCCCCCUGGUAUUCCGGGGGGCAUGCCUGUCCGAGCGUCAUUGCUGCCCUCAAGCACGGCUUGUGUGUUGGGCCUCCGUCCUCCUCCCGGGGGACGGGCCCGAAGGGCAGCGGCGGCACCGCGUCCGGUCCUCGAGCGUAUGGGGCUUCGUCACCCGCUCUUGUAGGCCCGGCCGGCGCUUGCCGACACAUCAAUCUUUUUUCCAGGUUGACCUCGGAUCAGGUAGGGAUACCCGCUGAACUUAAGCAUAUCAAUAAGCGGAGGA